AAAAAUUUAGUUAAAACUAUAACAUUAGCUUGUCAAGCUAAAAUUAUUGCUAUCAAUAAUUUUUA
rnacentral:tRNA from 1 species